GAGUUUGAUCCUGGCUCAGGACGAACGCUGGCGGUGCGCCUAAUGCAUGCAAGUCGAACGGGCGAAGGGGCUUCGGCCCCCUAGCUAGUGGCAGACGGCUGAGUAACACGUAAGUGAUUUGCCCCGGAGAGGGGGAUAAGCCGGAGAAAUCCGGUCUAAUACCCCGUACGCUCUCUAAGUUUCGGCGUAGAGAGGAAAGGUUCCGGCGCUCUGGGAGGAGCUUGCGGCCUAUCAUGGUAGUUGGUGGGGUAAAAGCCUACCAAGCCGAAGACGGGUAACCGGUGUGAGAGCACGAUCGGUCAGAGGGGGACUGAGACACGGCCCCCACUCCUACGGGAGGCAGCAGCAGGGAAUCUUGCGCAAUGGGCGAAAGCCUGACGCAGCGACACCGCGUGGGGGAAGAAGGCUCUCGAGUUGUAAACUCCUUUUCCGAGGGAAGAUACAAGACGGUACCUCGGGAAUAAGCCCCGGCUAACUACGUGCCAGCAGCCGCGGUAAUACGUAGGGGGCAAGCGUUACCCGGAAUUACUGGGCGUAAAGUGCGCGUAGGCGGUUGGAUAAGUCUCUUGUGAAAGCUCCCGGCUCAACUGGGAGAGGUCAAGGGAUACUAUUCGACUUGAGGACAGCAGAGGUAAGCAGAAUUCCCGGUGUAGCGGUGGAAUGCGUAGAUAUCGGGAGGAACACCAGUGGCGAAAGCGGCUUACUGGGCUGUAUCUGACGCUGAGGCGCGAGAGCGUGGGGAGCAAACUGGAUUAGAUACCCUGGUAGUC
rnacentral:rRNA from 1 species